rnacentral:tRNA from 1 species
GGGCGCAUAGCUCAGUUGGUUAGAGCGCACGGUUCACAUCCGUGAGGUCACAGGUUCGAGUCCUGUUGCGCCCACCU